ACAACUCUCAGCAACGAAUAUCUCAGCUUUCACAUCGAUGAAGAACAUAGUGAAAUACGAUACUUGGUAUGAAUUGCAGAAUCCCGUGAACCAUCGAGUCUUUAAACAGAAGUUGCGCCCAAAGCCAUUAGGCUGAGGACACGCCUGCCUGGGUGUCAUGCACCAUCACCCCCCCUCCAACCCUCCGCUCGUCAGGCUCCGAGGGAAGAGAGCAGGUAGAAGAUGGCCUCUCGUGAUCAGUCGAUCGCGGUUGGCCCAAAAUUGAGUCCCCGGUAAUGACAGCGCCGUGACCAUCGAUGGUAGAGCUCCCGACGUGCCUCAUCCCAAAUGAUGCAUGCUCGUUGUCCACCCGGACCCACUCGGACCCCCCGUAUCGCUCGAUCGAUGCUUGCAUCGUGACCCAGGUCAGGUGGGAUCACUCGCUGAGUUUAAGCAUAUCAAUAAGUGGAGGAAAAGAAACUUACCAAGAUUCCCCUAGUAACGGCGAGCGAACCAGGAAGAGCCCAGCUUGAGAAUCAGGUGCCCCCAACAUUUGAAUUGUAGUUUGAAGAAGCAUCCUCAGUGGCGGACCGGGCCCAAGUCUCUUGAAAAGCGGCAUCGGAGAGGGUGAGAGCCCCGUUGUGCCCGGACCCUGUCACACCAUAAGGCGCUGUCCGCAAGUCGGGUUGUUUGGGAAUGUAGCCCUAAUCGGGCAGUAAAUUCUACCCAAGGCUGAAUACAGGCAAGAGAUCGAUAGCGAACAAGUACCGUGAGGGAAAGAUGAAAAAGACUUUGAAAAGAGAGUCAAAGAGUGCUUGAAAUUAUCAGAAGUGAAGCAGAUGCGGGUCACGGCGGUGGCCCAAACCUGAGCUUUCGAUGUGCCCACAGAGACAUCAUGGUCGCGAUCAUGCAAUGCAACACGCACCAUCUCGGGGUGCUUCAACACCUCACCUGCUCCCAGCGUCGGCCUAUGGGCUCCCCAUCCGGCCCGUCUUGAAACAUGGACCAAGCAGUCUGACAUGUGUGUGAGUCAAUGGGCCAAAAAACCCGUAAGACGUAAGAAAGUUGAUUGGCAGGAUCCUUCACGGGUGCACCGCUGAUCGACUUUGAUCUUUUGAGAAGGGUUCGAGUGCGAGCAUGCCCGUCGGGACCCGAAAGAUGGUGAACUAUGGCUGAACGAGAUGAAGCCAGAAGAAACUCUGGUGGAGGCCCGUAACAAUACUGACGUGUAAAUCGUUCAUUUGACUUGGGCAUAGGGGCGAAAGACUAAUCAACCGUCUAUUAGCUGGUUCCUUUCGGAGUUUCCCUCAAGAUAGCUGGAGCCCCCGUCGAGUUCUAUCGAGUAAAGGCAAUGAUUAGAGGCAUCGGGGGCUGCUUCAUUGAGUAGUGCCAUGAAAUCAAGAGCUCCAAGUGGGCCAUUUUUUGUAAGUAGAACUGGUGAUGCAGGAUGAACCGAAAGUCGGGUUAUGAUGCCCAACUGCGUGCUAACCCAAAACCCAUAAAGGGUGUUGGUCGAUUAAGAUAGUAGGAUAGUGGUCAUGAAAGUUGAAAUCUGCCAAGCAGUGUGUAACAACUCACUUGCCAAAUCAACUAGCCCCGAAAAUGGAUGGCACUUCAACGCAUGACCUAUACCCGGCCGUUGGGGCAGGGGCAAGGGCCAAGCCUCGAUGAGUAGGAGGGCACGACGAUCGUCGUAAAACCUAGGGUACGAGCCUAGGCAGAACGACUGUCGGUGCAGAUCUUGGUAGUAGUAGCAAAUAUUCAAAUGAGAACUUUGAAAGUCGAAAAAGGGAAAGGUUCCAUGUGAAUGGCACUUACACAUGGGUUAGUCGAUCCUAAGAGACGGGGGAAACUCGUCUGACAGUGUGUCCCAUGUAAGCUUUAAAAGGGAAUCAGGUUAAAAUUCUUGAACCGAGACACGACGGUUGACGACAACGUUAGAAAGUUCAGAGACAUCAGCGGGGGCCUCGGGAAGAGUUAGCUUUUCUGUUUAACGACCCACCCACCCUGGAAACGGCUCAGUCGGAGGUAGGGUCCAGUGGCCGGAAGAGCACCGCACGUCGCAUGGUGUCCGGUGCGCCCCCGAUGGCCCUUGAAAAUUCAGAGGAUCGAGUGCCAUCCAAGCCCGAUCAUACUCAUUACCGCAUCAGGUCUCCAAGGUGAACAGCCUUUGGUCGAUGGAACAAUGUAGGCAAGGAAAGUCGGUAAAAUGGAUCCGUAACCUCAGGAAAAAGAUUGGCUCUGAGGGCUGGGCAUAGGGGUCCCAGUCCCGAACCCAUCAGCUAUCGGUGCACUGCUUGAGCUACUCUCACGAUGAGACGGGUCACCGCAUGCCGACCGAGGGAUGGAUUGGGAACGGCACCCUCGGGGGCCUUCCCCGAGCAUCGAGCAGUCGAUUCAGAACAGGUAUGGAUAAGGGGAAUCCGACUGUUUAAUUAAAACAAAGCAUUGUGAUGGUCCCUGCAGAUACUCACGCAAUGUGAUUUCUACCCAGUGCUCUGAAUGUCAAAGUGAAGAAAUUCAACCAAGCGCAGGUAAACGACGGGAGUAACUAUGACUCUUUUAAGGUAGCCAAAUGCCUCGUCAUCUAAUUAGUGACGCGCAUGAAUGGAUUAACAAGAUUCCCACUAUCCCUGUCUACUAUCCAAUGAAACCACAGCCAAGGGAAUAGGCUUGGCGAAAUCAACGGGGAAAGAAGACCCUGUUAAGCUUGACUCUAGUCUAACUUUGUGAAAUGACUUGAGAGGUGCGAAAUGACUUCGAUUCGUCCCUCCCCUUUCCCUCACCGACCUUUCUUCUUUUCACGUCACCCCCAUCCGAGGUUGGUUAUGACCCAGGGCCUUCCGUCCUUCGGUCCCGAUCGAGAAUGAACUUCCCUCGCCCCAAUCAGCCCACGAAACGAGCGUGUGGGCACUGAACCGAUCGCGGGGGCAGGAUGUGCGAGCCAAAGAUCUUGCUACAGGUCCCCCUUGGUUGUUGCCGUAAACGCCCUCGACAGCGUCUGGCCCUUGGUUGGUCAAGACUAGGAACGCACUACGUAUGUCUAAGUCAACCCAUGAAACGAGCGUACGGGUACCCAGCCUAACUGAGAGGUAAAAUGUGCAAGCUGAGGAUCGACUCGAUCCCCUUUUGUGUGCAACAGAUCUCACUACGAAUCUCUCGGUCCGACUGAGGCUUAGACUAAGAAUGAACUCUGUAUGCCUAAGUCAACCCACGAAAUGAGCGUGCGGGCACUGAGCCAGCCA
rnacentral:rRNA from 1 species